rnacentral:rRNA from 1 species
AACGUGAUAAGGGGACACCGAGUGCCAGCAUCAUAUGCUGGCUGUCCAGAUGUGUAAAAUACAUCUGUUAGCAAGGGCCGGGCAAGACCGGUGCCAGCCGCCGCGGUAACACCGGCGGCCCGAGUGGUGAUCGUGAUUAUUGGGUCUAAAGGGUCCGUAGCCGGUUUGGUCAGUCCUCCGGGAAAUCUGAUGGCUCAACCAUUAGGCUUUCGGGGGAUACUGCCAGGCUUGGAACCGGGAGAGGUAAGAGGUACUACAGGGGUAGGAGUGAAAC